UACAGAGGGUGCGAGCGUUGUCCGGAAUCACUGGGCGUAAAGGGCGCGUAGGUAGCGACCCAAGUCGAUGGUGAAAGCUCGCCGCUCAACGGCGAGUCGGCCACCGAUACUGGGUUGCUUGAGCACUGUAGAGGCUAAUGGAAUUCCGGGUGUAGCGGUGGAAUGCGUAGAGAUCCGGAGGAACACCGACGGCGUAGGCAGCGCCCUGGACGACACCUGACGCUGAGGCACGAAAGCUGGGGGAGCGAACAGG
rnacentral:rRNA from 1 species